rnacentral:other from 1 species
AUCCCUGCGGUGUGCGUAAAAUCCGGCAUAAAAUUUAACCAACAGAUUUAAAAAGGGAGUCCGUCUCCGGGCGUGGCGUAUAGGCCCCCCAUUUUUAUGGCCAGGGGAAAUAUAAAGCGGCCGGGAGGACACCCACCUGCGAGAGCAGGUUAAAUUUUUCCGGUAAAACGGCAUGGCGGGGG